AAAAAAAUGAGCGUGCGGAUGUGAAUGUGUGUGUGCGUGUGCGAUAACACCAAUGACCCGAUGGAAAAAGACGCGCGGUACGCAUGCAUGGGCACGAAAGAGUGAGAGAGCGGGACCGAGAGAGUGAGAACGAGAACUGAUUAAAUCGGAGCUGUGGUUGGCACUUAAAAUUAUCAUGACGAAGAAAAACAACACACGCAGAGCGAGACAACGACGACGACAACAGCAGCAGCAGCGGUAACGACGACAAAAACCUUAAUAAUAAGAAUUGUUAUUCACUUGAUUUGCAAAGAAAAUUCAAUUGAGAGAUAUUUUCAAGGGAAGCAUUAAACUGCCAUAAUCAUAUUGCUACUUGCAUAAAUUCGAAUUAAACAAGAGCAAACAUUG